UCAUUAAGUUUUCAUGAACAAAAUCUCAUUUCAGUGUAAAAUGGAUGAUGUGAGCAGCCUCAUCAAAAUAGCAGUGUCUCAAGAGCGUAGAAACAACUGCUUCGGUCUGCUGCAGGCUAGUUUGUUAAUAUCCAUAAUUUACACUUGUGAGUAGUUUCUACACUGGAUAAAUAGGAUUGUCCAACAGAGGGCACAGUUUAUGUGAUAAGUCACUUUAAAACGAAUGUCACUGAGUUACAAUUAAACUUCUUGUCUGCAAGAAAGAGUGUGGAUAAAACUUACUGAGAAAAGUUUGGGUUCCCAGUUUUAAUAAAGUUCUGUUCUAUUCGAUAGGCUGCUUAUUUUCACUGCCCUGAAGUACUAUGGGAAGCAACAUUGGUUUCUGUACAGGUGGCAGCAAAAGGCUUAUCCACGAUUAAAUUUGUUGAAAUAGGAUGAAAUUUAGAAGCACAUAUGCUAUGUAUGACUCUUUGUGCGGAGUACCUUUUGUGUGGUGCUUAUAAAUUUUCUUUUCAGUCUGUCUGAUUUUCUUUGCUCUAGUAUCUCUGGAUGUUACUUAUAUUGGAUACAACAAACUAUCUUCUGGUUUUCAUUUGCUAUUUGUUCUUGUAUCAUGCAUCAGAUACAUUUCAUGUCAUAUCUUUGUAUGUGGGACCAGCAAAAUAAAUAUAGAUUCUACAACUACUUUCUAGACUGGUUUAUGUCUUCUUUUUUUCAGUAAAACAGAGCACAUCUGAGGAUCACACAAUAUUUCUGUAAGGAGUCUGAUGCUGUCCAAGGAAUGAAGCCUCUGAUAUUUCAGUUUAAAAGGUGUUCAACAGAUUGACUUGCAUGUAUCUGGAAACAACAGUUAGAACACUAGUUUUCUUUGGUUAUCUUUCUGACCUGUAUAUGCGUGAAGCUCAACAGAGGCUAGUUAAUAAUGUUAAAAAACUAUUUAUUUAAAGGAGGUCAAGUGGUUUUUGUGUUUUCAAUUAAUCCAUGUUAAAAAAAAAAGUAAAAUAAAAUCUU